ACGGGGUGCCAGCAGGCGCGAAACCUUUACACUGCACGACAGUGCGAUAGGGGGAUCCCAAGUGCACAGGCAUAGCGCCUGUGCUUUUCGGUACCCUAAGGCGGUACCAGAAUAAGGGCUGGGCAAGACCGGUGCCAGCCGCCGCGGUAAUACCGGCAGCCCAAGUGAUGGCCGAUCUUAUUGGGCCUAAAGCGUCCGUAGCUGGCCACGCAAGUCCAUCGGGAAAUCCACCUGCCCAACAGGUGGACGCCCGGUAGAAACUGCGUGGCUUGGGACCGGAAGGCGCGACGGGUACGUCCGGGGUAGGAGUGAAAUCCCGUAAUCCUGGACGGACCGCCGAUGGCGAAAGCACGUCGCGAGAACGGAUCCGACAGUGAGGGACGAAAGCCAGGGUCUCGAACCGGAUUAGAUACCCGGGUAGUCCUGGCCGUAAACAAUGUCUGCUAGGUGUGGCUCCCACUACGAGUGGGUGCUGUGCCGCAGGGAAGCCGCUAAACAGACCGCCUGGGAAGUACGUCCGCAAGGAUGAAACUUAAAGGAAUUGGCGGGGGGAGCAA
rnacentral:rRNA from 2 species